rnacentral:rRNA from 1 species
AAUUGAGACAGGUGGUGCAUGGUUGUCGUCAGCUCGUGUCGUGAGAUGUUGGGUUAAGUCCCGCACGAGCGCAACCCUGUGUUUAGUUGCAAACAGGUCAAGCUGUGCACUCUAGACAGACUGCCGUGGACAACACGGAGGAAGGUGGGGAUGACGUCAAAUCAUCAUGCCCCUUAUGAUCUGGGCUACACACGUGCUACAAUGGCCGGUACAACGGGCAGCGAAGGAGCGAUCCGGAGCGAAUCCUAAAAAGCCGGUCCCAGUUCGGAUUGCAGGCUGAAACUCGCCUACAUGAAGUUGGAGUUGCUAGUAAUCGCGAAUCAGAAUGUCGCGGUGAAUGCGUUCCCGGGUCUU